ACGGGAGGCAGCAGUGGGGAAUAUUGCACAAUGUGCGCAAGCCUGAUGCAGCGACGCCGCGUGAGCGAAGAAGUAUUUCGGUAUGUAAAGCUCUAUCAGCAGGGAAGAUAAUGACGGUACCUGACUAAGAAGCACCGGCUAAAUACGUGCCAGCAGCCGCGGUAAUCCGUAUGGUGCAAGCGUUAUCCGGAUUUACUGGGUGUAAAGGGAGCGUAGGCGGUGUUACAAGUCUGAUGUGAAAGCCCGGGGCUCAACUCCGGUAUUGCAUUGGAAACUGUAGAACUAGAGUGUCGGAGGGGUAAGUGGAAUUCCUAGUGUAGCGGUGAAAUGCGUAGAUAUUAGGAGGAACACCAGUGGCGAAGGCGGCUUACUGGACGAUUACUGACGCUGAGGCUCGAAAGCGUGGGGAGCAAACAGGAUUAGAUACCCUGGUA
rnacentral:rRNA from 1 species